rnacentral:lncRNA from 1 species
GUAGUAGCCCGCUCUUUUAAUUAUGAUUAAAACUAGUAAAUGCAAUUUUUAUAAAUGAAUCCAGUUUAUAGUUCUGAUUUUUUUUAUCAGAGAUGGAGUAAUAUUUUAGCUUUAUACUUUUAUAACGUAUGAGAAAAACGCGACAAAGAUUAUUGAGCCAUUCAAUAAUUAUUAUUUCCAAGUUGUAACUGACUUAGCAAAGUCAUGUUAUUUAUUAAUCGAGAAACAGAAGCAGUUAUAUUUAUUAGUGC